rnacentral:rRNA from 1 species
GGAUGCGAUCAUACCAGCACUAAAGCACCGGAUCCCAUCAGAACUCCGAAGAUAAGCGUGCUUGGGCGAGAGUAGUACUAGGAUGGGUGACCUCUAGGGAAGUCCUCGUGUUGCAUUCC